rnacentral:rRNA from 1 species
UGCGGCGUGCUUAACACAUGCAAGUCGAACGGAAAGGCCCUGCUUUUGUGGGGUGCUCGAGUGGCGAACGGGUGAGUAACACGUGAGUAACCUGCCCUUGACUUUGGGAUAACUUCAGGAAACUGGGGCUAAUACCGGAUAGGAGCUCCUGCUGCAUGGUGGGGGUUGGAAAGUUUCGGCGGUUGGGGAUGGACUCGCGGCUUAUCAGCUUGUUGGUGGGGUAGUGGCUUACCAAGGCUUUGACGGGUAGCCGGCCUGAGAGGGUGACCGGCCACAUUGGGACUGAGAUACGGCCCAGACUCCUACGGGAGGCAGCAGUGGGGAAUAUUGCACAAUGGGCGGAAGCCUGAUGCAGCAACGCCGCGUGCGGGAUGACGGCCUUCGGGUUGUAAACCGCUUUCGCCUGUGACGAAGCGUGAGUGACGGUAAUGGGUAAAGAAGCACCGGCUAACUACGUGCCAGCAGCCGCGGUGAUACGUAGGGUGCGAGCGUUGUCCGGAUUUAUUGGGCGUAAAGGGCUCGUAGGUGGUUGAUCGCGUCGGAAGUGUAAUCUUGGGGCUUAACCCUGAGCGUGCUUUCGAUACGGGUUGACUUGAGGAAGGUAGGGGAGAAUGGAAUUCCUGGUGGAGCGGUGGAAUGCGCAGAUAUCAGGAGGAACACCAGUGGCGAAGGCGGUUCUCUGGGCCUUUCCUGACGCUGAGGAGCGAAAGCGUGGGGAGCGAACAGGCUUAGAUACCCUGGUAGUCCACGCUGUAAACGGUGGGUACUAGGUGUGGGGUCCAUUCCACGGGUUCCGUGCCGUAGCUAACGCUUUAAGUACCCCGCCUGGGGAGUACGGCCGCAAGGCUAAAACUCAAAGGAAUUGACGGGGCCCCGCACAAGCGGCGGAGCAUGCGGAUUAAUUCGAUGCAACGCGUAGAACCUUACCUGGGUUUGACAUGGAUCGGGAGUGCUCAGAGAUGGGUGUGCCUCUUUUGGGGUCGGUUCACAGGUGGUGCAUGCCUGUCGUCAGCUCGUGUCGUGAGAUGUUGGGUUAAGUCCCGCAACGAGCGCAACCCUUGUUCACUGUCGCCAGCACGUUAUGGUGGGGACUCAGUGGAGACCGCCGGGGUCAACUCGGAGGAAGGUGGGGAUGACGUCAAGUCCUCAUGCCCCUUAUGUCCAGGGCUUCACGCAUGCUGCAAUGGCUGGUACAGAGAGUGGCGAGCCUGUGAGGGUGAGCGAAUCUCGGAAAGCCGGUCUCAGUUCGGAUUGGGGUCUGCAACUCGACCUCAUGAAGUCGGAGUCGCUAGUAAUCGCAGAUCAGCAACGCUGCGGUGAAUACGUUCCCGGGGCUUGUACACACCGCCCGUCAAGUCAUGAAAGUUGGUAACACCCGAAGCCGGUGGCCUAACCGUUAAGGGGGAGCCGUCGAAGGUGGGACUGGUG